AACGCAUAUGGCACCCGAGACUUCGGUCGAGGGUAUGUCUGUCUCAGAGUCGACGUAAAAAAAUCCCCAGAGGAAGACCUCCGCGUCGUCCUCUCGGGGGAGCUGGCCCUCCCGGGGGUUGCGGUUAGUAGCCGCUCCUCCCCGGGUGAGCUGAAGGUGAGAGACGGGGGACCGCUCGCGUUGGGCGACACGAUUUUGGUGGGAGGACCUCGCGUCCGCAUCACAGAUCGGCUAGCCCCUCGAAAGCUUGCGGUCAACGUGGACCCCGCCACUGCAGGAUACAGGGAAGCAGGGCAACCUCUUCUUAUGUUUUCGACCUGAGAUCAGGCAAGAUCACCCGCUGAACUUAA
rnacentral:misc_RNA from 1 species